UAUAGUGCGUAUAAUUAUGUGAAGUUAGUUUCCUGAAAAAUGAACUGCAUUAUUUGUGUUUAAAACAUUAAUAUACAUGUACAUCUCCCAAAAAUACAUUUAGUAUAUAGUACUACAAACAUGUACAACUGAGGAGAGUGUUAACACAGAGGGGGAUCGCUAUGCCAGGUAGGAUUAAGUAACAGGUUUUCAAUUUUUUUUCUCAAACUUUCCAUAUUGAAUUCAAGUCUAUCAAAUUUAAGCAGCAAUUAAAAGUUAAACAGAGAUAAUGAAUCGAUCACAUUUAUAAAGAACCCAUACACGAUGCCAUCUCUUGAAAGUACAUUAAUUACGUUCAACAAGUUUUAAUAAAAUGUUCGAGUCCUCUCGAAUUUUCAAUGUUCAUAAGCAGAGGGGUCGCUUUGGAAAGCGUAGAAGACUCACGGUUUGGUAGGACAGCACUUGAAGAACAAAUCGCUCUCACUCUCCGUUAUAACAGAUACUUGGCACAGACCUGAAGUACGUGAAAGGCUCUAUUUCAACACUAGAAUGCUACAACACGUUUAAGCCAAGGGUUGUGUAAAAGUAUCAUUCAGCAUUGAUUGUGUGGUUCUGAAGAUGAUCAACUACAAAAGCAACAGGCUAGAAAUGCAAAUAACCAAAGCUCACAGAUUCACAUGGGGGACUUCUGCAUGAAUUAGCCCUGUGCCGAACCUUAUUGAAAUCUGUCAAAAAGACCGGAGAAAGAAAUAAAUGUAGAGAUCGUCCCUUACCAAAGAAUACGGAAAUAAGACCUCCAUCUGCAAGGAGAGUUCCAUGUCCGAAUUUUUG